GAGUUCUCUGAGGCGGCUGGGCGGCGGUCUAGACAUGCACACCACAGAGCGUGGCGAUGGAACAGUAACCGGAGCUUGUGAGAGGGCUCUACACUAUCAACUAGGAGACAGAUCCACGGAUUCACCAUAAACCAGACACAGAGUCUCAUUAUGUGGUCCAGGCUGCUCUGGAACUCCUGGGCUCAAGCGACCCUCCUGCCUCAGCCUCCCGAAAGCACUCGCAUGACAAGCAUGAGCCACUGUGCAGGACCCACAGCACUUAAAUUCCAAAAUCACCUUGAAACCCUGACCUUCC